CUUAAUUACAACAUGAUUAAGGAGGAGUAUAUAAGGCUAAUAUAACAGAAUUGGAUCAGUUUUGAACAUUCUAGAUCUAGAAAUUGGUUUUCCCUCCAAAAAUUCUCUCAUCCCAAAUUUGAAAAUUCUUCACAUAACACCUCAAUUUUAUGCAUAGUCGUGUCAUUGAUCAUCAUUUAGUAGGGAUCAAGCUGUGGAUUGAAGAAAUUGGCCAAGAAUCAUGCCACACCAGCUUGAAGAUGAACAUGGAACUUGAAGAUUAAGCUGGAUCCAGGACAAUUCAAGCGCCAAUUCCUACCUAGAGCUUCAUAUCAAGGUUGGAGGAGAAGAUCUGGAUAUUUUUGAAGCUUGAAUCCACUGUUUUUUAUCACUGCAUAACAGGUUGGUGAAAUUUCGAUCGUCUUAUUUUGCCUUUCCAUUGCCAUGAUCCUGUAGUGCUUGACUCACUGAUGAUGCUGAUAUCAAUAGAUUUUAAUUUGGUGAAGUAUUGAGUGAGAUAUGUUGAAAUAAAGUUUAGAUCUAGGAUAUUUCUCUGCUUCGAUUUGUGAAAUCCAUGGAGAAUUAGGCCAAACCAUUAGCAUAUUUGAGUUCCUAGUGAUGAGACCUUUCCAAUGGUAUAAGGUUUAUCAUUUCUGGAAAUUUUCGUGGCGGAGCUCCGCCUGUCUCGCCGGAGAAGAUGGUUAUUCCGCUGUCUGGUUAUAAGCGCUAGGGUUUCCUUGCUGGCGCUUGCGUGUGCCCUCCGUUGGCAUUUCCAUUGGCCUGCAUCCACUUGACUUAUCCACGCGUGUUUGACCACGCUGACUGGGCGCCACUUCAUUUAGUGGAACGCCGCGUUUUACUUUGAACGCACCUUUAACCUCCAAUACGCUGGUUCGAUUCCCAUCUGGCGUAGUUUUUGAUUUUAUUUUCAUGGGCGCUUGCAACCUCAUAGGCACUGGUUCGAUCCCUGGCUUUGUUUAGUUAAUUGAUUUAAUUUCAUGCGCUUCUAUGACCAUGCAUACCUGGGUUCGAAACUUGGCAAAUGUUGUUUGUGAAUAUUAUUUUCCAGCGCUUCUUAGACUGGCAUGUCCUGGGUUCAACACCUAGGUUUAGCAUUUUUUUCAAAUGGCAUUUCAACAUUUCAUUUCCCUCCACAUUAUUUCAUGAUAUUUCAAAUAUUUUCAUCAAACUUUGGAAAAUCACUAAAAAUAGCAUAUGCAUCCAAUUUAAUCUAUUCUUUUUUUCACAUGUUCAUUUCAAUGUGAUAAUAAAACAUUACACUAAAAGGACAUUUUAGCAUUUCUGGAUUUUUUAUUGAGAAUUGAUGUUUGAAUAUGAUGCAAAUGUGACAUGUUGUGAUCAAUCGCUUGUGAAAUGCUCAUACUUGAUCUAAUUGCCUUGGAAUUUGAUAUGAUGAAUCCUAACAUGCAACAUGAUUUUUGAGAUUUGGUUUGGCAUUUUUAGCAUUUUUCCACACUGUUUUGGAUACAUGGACAUUUGGUGUGACAAUUUGUGUCACAAUAUUGGAUGCUGACUUUGUUCAUUUUCAUUUCUAGGACAUUUGAUAUCUUCUGGUCCUAAUUUUUGGCAUGAUGCUUGUUCAUAACAUGUUGUGUGCACAUAAACAAAUUCAUGAUCAUUGGAUGUGUUUCUGAUUUAAUGUGCAUUUUCUCAUUUGUAUGUCUAAUUGUUGAUCAUCUUGUGUGCCUUUGCCUUAUCUUGCUCAUGUGAAGCCUUUGCCUUAGGAUUUGAGUUUGGUCCUUUUUAGGACAUGUUCUUGCUUGAUUAAAUGUGAGUCAUGUCGAAUAUUGGCUGCUGUUUUGACUUUUUGCUUUGCCUUUUACCCUAGUCUUUGCACUAGUGGUUUGUACUCACCAUUUGAGCUUUGUAUUUCAGGUUCAAGCAAUUAGCUUUAGUGGUUGAUGUGAUCUCAUUACUUGAGAUGCAAAUUACUUUGUCCACUAACCUUUGUUGUGUUGUAGGUCCCUUGGUGAUGAACUCAUUUGAGUUGUUUACGCAUAGGAUUUGCCUUGUGUACAUAUUGGUUGUAACACUAUUGUUGACUGUUUGGAUUGUCUGAAUACCAUAUUGACUUGUUUGACUUUUGCACAGGUACAUUAGUCGCUUUAGCUCAUUGCUUGAGCUUUUCUUUGCUUGUGGUUGGUAUACCACCUAGGUAAUCAUUCUCUAACUCCAUGUAGUCUGGAAGCCCUGUCGUUUUUUUUGGCAGGCGUUUGGCUGAAGUCCUCCUUAAGAGGCAAUGACUGUGAUUGUUUACUUUUGUGCUAAAGACCUCCUUGUCAAGGCAUGUUGCCUGAUAAGACCUCAAGAUGAGGCAAUUGACAGAUAGAAGGGACUAGUAGCCAAUCCCCUUUUAGUCGUUGAGUCGUUCAUUAUGCUCGCACUACGUGCUGACGCUCUUGAACCUAACCCAAGAUCCUUGUAUAGAGUCGGUCAAGUGGAAUAGGGUCCCACAUUCUGGACCCCCAUGCUUUCAUUGAUUUGAAGCUCACCCAGGACAGGGUUAAGAGCUAUGAGGUCUAACCCUCAUUACCUUUCAUUUGCUCACCCUGACGGUCAAUGUCAGUGGUUAAGAGCUUCAACACACCCCUACAGUUUUGGCUUGUUUGUCGAGGUUGAUAUGACCCCUUGACUAAAGCCCAACCGUUUUGUCUAAGCCUCUUGUUUGCAUAUAGAGUGUGAUGAUUGCUUGUGUGUUUGCUUUUCAUACAUGUUGAUUUGCUGUUUGAUUGACUUGCUUCCUGUGCGAGUUAGGUUAUGUUUAGAUACCUCAACCUAGGGCCAUUGUGGAUUGCAUGACAACUAUUAGGCUCGAGUCAGUCUCCCUUUUAGUUUGUUAUUCCCGGGUCUAUGGUUAGGAGAUAGUUUCUCCCCUGUUAAGGGGAACUACGUCGCCUUGAUCCUCAUGCCAGAUGAGGUACGUAGGUAGGAGAUCGUGCAAGAUCUCUCCGGUCACCCUUUUCUUUUUUUGCGUGUGUUUUGCUUGACAACUAUUAGGUCCGAGUUCCCGACUCCCUUUUAGCCUGUGUGUUCACCCUUUUUGGUUCUUUUGACGUCUCAGCGUCUUCUUGGUGUUUGUGUGACAACUAGUAAGCUCGAGUUCCAGACUCCUUAUUAGCUUGUCAGUCUGAUACCCUUUUGCUUUGGUGUUCGCUGGUUAGCGAUUGUUUGUGUGUUUGGAGUCGGAUGUAAGCCCAGGUUUGGCAUUCUAUUUCCUUGUUUGUGCUUGUGUUUGGAGUCGGAUGUAAGCCUAGCUAUUGGCAUUUUGUUUCCUUGUUGAGUUUCUUUUGACGUCUCAGCGUCUCUGUGUUGUGUUUUGUUUCGGCCUGCGUUAGUCGAACUACGACAGCUCUGAUUCUCAUUCCAGAUGAGAUACGUAGGCAUAGGAUGCGAUAUCCUAGCGAGCCUGUUCCCCAUUUCCCCGAACUACGUUGACUCUGAUGUUUGUUUCUGACAAACUAUGUAGGCCUAGGAUGCGACAGCCUGCCGAGUCCGUUUUCUCCGUUUUCCUUCACCUGUUAUUAUUCCAGUGUGUGUGCAUUCUUUGAGCAGUUAUUCAGCAACCUUAUUCUAUUCUUUUAAGCGUGGAUCCCAUCGAGUACGACGGACGUGAGGGGUGCUAAUACCUUCCCCUUGCGUAACCGACUCCCGUACCCUGUAAUCUCUGGUCGUAAGACCAUUCCUUUCCCUUUUUCAGGUUUACUUAGAGCGUUUCCUUUCCCUCCUUUGGGAUAAAUAAUGCACGGUGGCGGCUCUGUGUCUUUUUCCGCCGGUUGUUUUUCGCGUAUGCGACAGCUGGCGACUCUGCUGGGGACUUAGAAGUUGACCUCUUGCUGGUCCAUCUUCCCUAAGCGAGUCAAUCCUAGUGCUCUUUAGGAUAGUUUUGGUUGCUUUUACUGCUUUAUUUAUUGCAUUUGUCAUUAUUAUACUGUGAUUGUAUAUAUUUGCAUAUAUGUUUGCAUGCAUCAUAUUAUCAUUGUGUUGGAUCCUGUACAGGUUGGUCCUUUGAUUUGGGGUGGGUGUUCUGAGUGGGGCUAAAACCCAGGCCCGAGUAUACACCUAGGAUUAGCGUGGUCUCACGUUUCCUCACAUGUUGGAUUAACAUGAUCGUUGCAACGUGACAUACCACAGCCGGACGAGGUUCUUCUGAGAGAAGCUCUUCCUUGUGGAGUUUCCAUUAUGGUUGGGUCUAUCUCUUUUGAGCUGUUGACUUCGGUGACCACUCUUUCCCGGAUCUUUGGUUUAGACGAUCUUAUGAGAGCUGCAGCGGCACACCCGAAAGGGCAAACUCGUUGAGUAUCUUGUCCGAUUGUCGAGACCGUUAUCCGCCUUAGGAUGACCUUAUAGAGUUCACCUGUGAGGGGAGGGUUGUUUCCUACAGAUGCAGUUCCUGAUGGUGACUAUUGGAUGGUGACUCUGGUUCAGUUGGAUUAUGGAUAUUUAUUUCUGAGACGCCGGAGUUCUGUCCGUGGUAUUUAUCAGUGGGGAUCCGUUUAUUUCAGGAUUCCCUGGGUUGGUGCAGGUGAUCAUGUUGUUAUCAGAUCAGUGGUUUUCCAGUGAUGAUGGUGGUAUAUCCAUAGGUUCCGUUUAUUUCGGAACCCCGAGUUGGAUUUACGGUUGCUCAGUACCUCAGAUGGUUAUGAUCAGUUCACAGAUCGAGACUCAGUGCAGUGGAUGUUCAGAUGACUUGGAGGAUGGCACAGUGCAUUGCAUUCAUGCAUCCGCAUCAUUCACAUUUUGCAUUUAUCCGCAUCUAACUCAUGUUUAUCCAUAUGCAGGGGACAUUCUUGAUUGAGAUCCUGGUUAGGAGGAUGGCACAGUGCAUUGCAUUCAUGCAUCCGCAUCAUUCACAUUUUGCAUUUAUCCGCAUCUAACUCAUGUUUAUCCAUAUGCAGGGGACAUUCUUGAUUGAGAUCCUGGUUGAGAGACUUCUCUGUUCCAGAUAUGAGGACUGACUUGAAAGCUGAUGUUGUAUACAGUUUUUUUGAUCCAGAGAUUCGUGUGUUGAAAGAUAUGAUAGCAUUGAUUACGCCUGACCAUGUGGGGAUGUUCCGUGAGAUUUAUGGUGAUAUUCUGAGGAUGGUUUUCAGGCUUACAGAUGGGAAUAGGGACGCCAUCCACACUCUUCUCCAGUUUUAUGACCCGGGUUUGAGAUGCUUUGUCUUCCCUGAUUAUUUGUUGGGACCCUUGAUGGAGGACUAUGCUGGUAUCCUGGGUAUUCAGAUCAGAAACCAGGCUCCUUUCUUUGUCACUAAGGAGGAACCUGAUGUUGGGGAGAUCUCUCGUGCUCUUUAUUUGAGCCCAGAAGUGACUAAGGGGGGUUUGAAGGAGAAGGGAAAGUUGCCCGGUUUUCAUCUGAGUUUCUUGGAAGCUAAGGCUAAGGAACAUGCUGUUUUGGGUGAUUGGAAGGUUGUCUGUGCUCUGCUUACUGUGAGCGUCUAUGGAAUCAUCUUGUUCCCUAAUCAGAAGAACUUUGUAGACAUUAAUGCCAUCCGGGUGUUUGUGCAGAGGAAUCUUAUUCCUACUUUGGUUGGGGAUGUCUAUUACUCGGUCCAUAAUCGGAAUGAGAAGCGACGUGGGGGAUUGAUUAGGUGUUGUGCUCAGCUGUUAUACAGGUGGUUCAUGGGAUACUUGCCUUCUAGAGGUGCCUUUGUUCUUCUUGACCAUACUGUCAGUUGGGCAACCAAGUUGAUGGGUUUGCGAGCCAAGGACAUAGCUUGGACUCACAUUGAUGAGGCUGGACGAGACUUUAUUUACAGUUGUGGGAGUUUUCACAAUGUGCCUCUUAUAGGAGUCCAAGGUUGUAUUAAUUACAACCCGGUGCUUCUCAGGAGGCAAAUGGGGUUUGCUAUGGAUGUUCCUCCUCUCGAGUGUGAGAUUCGGCACUCUUGUUACUUCCCGGUUGAGGGUAACCGGUCAUCGUUGGAGAUAGUGUCUGAGGCGUGGCGUAAUAUUCAGAGGAAAGGCAGGAUUCCUUUUGGUAGAGCUAAUAACAGGUCUUUUCCUCUGUUCGAUGAUUGGCUCAGAAGGAGGAUUGAGCUCACUCGUCUAUCAUUUCCUAUGGGUGAUCCUUGGUAUCCGGUGAUUGAGGAGUCCCGCUCUUCUGUUAGCAUGGAGGAAUUCCUUGAGAUGAGGAGGGAGAGAGAUCAGCUGCGGGAAGAGAAGACUGGGUUGGAGAUGAGUGUUGCUAGGAUUCAAAUGGCUAGUCAGGAAGUCAAGAGAAAAGCAGAAGACCAGGCUAAGAGGCAUGCUCUGGAGGCGAAGCGUUUUGAGAUGGACACCGCCUAUUAUCGCAAGAUCAGCCAAGCGAUAGAGUCAUCUACGAAGGAGCACGACAUUACCAAGGAGAAGUUGGCUAGAGCUUUGAAGGUCAUUGAAGACGAUAAGAGGAGGCAAAUCCUUGUGAAGACUCAAAGGGAAGUUAGAGCCAAAGUCCUUACCGCCGAGUGGGAAGCAAAGCUGAAGGUUAAGGGAGAAGAGCUAGUAAAGAUUGUGGCUGAGAGAGAUCAUUAUCUUGCUGAGAGGGACCAUUAUUUCCGACAGAUGAAGAUUCAUCAAAAGGAAGUGGGAAGACUUCAGCAGGAGAACACUGAGCUCAGGUUCGCCGUGACGUUUACCAAGAUGGUUGAUGAUACAGAGCCUUCUGUGGGACCUUCUUCAGUUUAGAUUUUUAUCGCAGUUAUUAUCAUGUGUUGGAUUACCGUCAGGCAUGUUGACGGAAUUUGCUUGCUUGUAUUUUCUUUCUAAUUCUGGAGAAUUGUACUUGAUUUGUAUCAAGCCUGAUGUACGACUCUUGCACGUGUUGUGCACUUUUGAUAUACAGUGGUUAUUGUCAUUCAUUGAUUUGAUCUUCAAGCUUUAUUUGCUUUUCUAUACGCACUCACAUAACACACACAUGGUCGGGUGAUAUCUUUGCUAAAUCAUAACUCUCUGCUUUGUAUGGUGAAACGAGACGAUUGACGUCAGAAUGUUAUUGUCAAAUUAUUAUCGGUCUCGAUGAAACCAGGAUCGAAAGACAGAGUGUUCCUCAUAUGGAUAGACAUUGCAUUCAUGCGUGAGUCAUAAUAACUUGUCUUCUGUUUUGCAGGUGUCGGUUUCUAACGUGCUUGAUUGUUUCAGGAAUCAUUGCUCGCGCACGUAGAAUCAUUCCCUUGCACGUAGCUCGUCCGCACAGAUACUUUACCAGACGCAACAAAUCCAAGCUGAUGGAUCUACCCAAUGCAGAUAUUCUCGAGCUGAAAGAGAAGAUGAGCGAAUUGAUCAACGUCAUGCAAGGGUUUGCCUUGGGGCAGAAAGCACUUGCUGAUAAAGUGGAGAAGCUCGAGCGGGCUUCGACUGCCAACAGUGGUAAUAAUCUAGAGGGUAUCUCCAACAAUGGUCUCAGUGGUUCUAGGGAUGGUGGUGAUCCUAGGAAAAAGGCAACUACUGCCGGUGUGGUUAUCAACAAUGGUGGUGGUUUUGAUGUUUCCGCAGGCGGUGGAUUAGGUCUGGUGGGCAAUAAUCUGAAAGAUAGUCAGUUUCCUCCUUUCUUUGGGGCCGAGGAGGAUAGAGAAGAAGACCAGUUCUCCGCACUGAAUGAGCAGUUUGGCCAAUAUGGUGUUCAACCACCAAACAAAGAAAUUCAGGUGCUAGCCGAGAAGAUCAGGGCUUUGGAAAGCUAUGCUACUCCUGGGGUUGUUAACAUGUCAAACAUGGGGCUAGUUGAGGGGAUUGUGAUCCCGCAGAAGUUUAAAGCGCUUGCGUUUGAUAAAUACAAUGGGAGUUCUUGCCCGGAAACUCAUCUCCAAGCAUUCGUCCAAAAGAUUUCUGCCUAUACAAUGGACCAGAAGCUUUGGAUGUACUUCUUCCAGGAUAGCUUGUCUGGGGGGUCUCUUGAGUGGUAUACUAAAUUGAGAUCAUCAGACAUUAAGAGCUGGCAGGAUCUGGGGGAUGCGUUCUUUAAACAGUACCAGUUCAAUGCUGACAUGGCUCCUAGUCGUAACCAAUUGCAGGGUAUGUCUCAGAAGCCUAAUGAAGGGUUUAAAGAAUACGCACAGAGAUGGAGGGAGUUGGCUGCCAGGGUGCAACCUCCGUUGGUAGAUCGGGAGAUGUCUGAUCUGUUCAUGGGUACCCUUCAGGGGACCUUUGCUGAAAGAAUGGUGGGAUACCCGGUUACCAACUUUGCAGACAUUGUGGUGGCAGGUGAAAGAAUUGAGAGCUGGCUGAAGAUGGGAAAGAUACAGGGUAAUGCUUCGUCGUCUGGAUCGAAGAAGCCCUUUGGUAAUGGCUAGCGUAAGAAGGAGGGUGAUAUGAGUGUCGUGUAUGCCCAGAGGGGACAAGGUAGGGAUCGUUACUACCAGCACACUGCUGCGGUAACCAUUCCUGCUGAUAAUCAACCUGCGCAACAACAACAACAACAACCGCAACAGCAACAACAGCCAUUUCAACAGAGACCACAGUAGGCCGGGUAUUAGGUGAGAGGACGAAUGACUGAUCGUCAGUUUGAUAGGCCGCCAGUGACAUAUUCUUUCCUGUUGAAGAAGUUGAAAGAUUUGGGGUUGGUUCAGCUAAGAACAUUGGCUCCGUUGAGACCUGAUCAGAGGCCUGGCAACUAUGAUGAGAACGCCAAGUGUGAGUUCCAUUUUGGUGCCCCUGGACACAAUGUUGAGAAUUGUAAAGCUUUUAAGCAUGUGGUCCAGGAUCUGGUAGACUCUAAAGCCAUCAAUUUUGCUCCAUCUCCAAAUGUUAACGCUAAUCCCAUGCCGGCGCAUGGUCAGAUGGGGGUGAAUGCAAUUUCUGAGGAUAGGAGGACAAUUGGGCUGAUGAGUGUAGACCAGUUGAGGACUCCGUUGGCUGAGGUCAAGAGACAACUGUUGAAGAAUGGGGUCUUUCCGGGUUGUGGUGAUUGAUGUGCUGCGUGCACUGUUCCUACCGAUGGGUGUGUAUUACUGAGGGAGGUUGUCCAAAUAAUGAUGGAUGAAGGGAGUCUCAGGUUUGAGAAGGUCGGCAUGGAGAAGGAGGAUGUCUCCACCAUAACCAUAUACUUUGAUUCGGUCGACUUGUCAGCGCUGGCAGAUGCGGCUCCGGUUACCAUCACGGUACCUGGGCCUAUUCCUUAUGACAACGACGAUGCUGUGCCGUGGCACUAUGGUGGAGAGGUAUACUGUAAUGGGGAGAAGCAGGAAGAUCAGGCUGCAGGUGAAACCACUGUUUCAAAGGUGGAUAAUGCCGGACCUAGUGGUUUCACUCGCAGUGGAAGGUUGUUUGCACCUGACACAUUGAGGGGUGGGGAAGGAGAAAAAGAAAAGAAAGAUAAGGCUGAGGCUUUAGCCAGGGCAAGAGGGAAGCAGGUGGUGAGCGAGGUUACUCCUGUAGCGACAGCGGCGCCUGGUGGGUCGGAGAAAGAACUUGAUGAUGAAGCUGAAGAAUUUUUGAGGAUCAUCAAGAAGUCUGAGUAUAAGCUUGUUGACCAUCUGCAGCAGACCCCGUCUAAGAUCUCAAUCCUGUCAUUGUUGUUAAGCUCCGAGGGGCAUAGAGAGGCUUUGUUGAAAAUAUUGAAGAGAGCCUAUGUCCCGCAAGAGAUAACGAUCAAUCAGCUGGAUACAGUGGUGUCCAAUGUUAAUGCCAGCCAUGGGCUGGGUUUCACUGAUCUCGAUCUGACGGUGGAUGGGCGUAAUCAUAAUAGGGCAUUACACAUUGCAAUGGAGUGUAAAGGAGCAGUGCUUUCGCACGUUUUGGUGGAUAUUGGCUCAUCGCUCAAUGUGUUGCUGAAGAAGGCCCUGGCAAAGUUGGAUUGUGAAUGGUUGAUCUUGAGGCCCACCGACCUGGUUGUUAGAGCCUUUGAUGGUUCAAAGCGGGUUGUGUUUGGGGAAGUGGAGCUCCCUGUGAAGAUCGGGCCCGAGGUGUUUGAUAACAUGAAAUAGUAUCACAUUCUAGGACUCAAUUUAAUUAAAUUAUAUUAUUAUUUACUUCAAUUUAUUUCAUUUUAUCAGAUAUUACGCGGUAUUUUCUUUCUAUUUAUCUCAGGUGGUCUAUUUGAAGCACAAGUAAAAAAGGAAGAAAAGGAGGUGCAAAAAGGAAUAAAAAGAAGCAAAAAUCAAAGGCCAAAGCCCAGCCCAAAAAGCACAGGCGUUGUGCCUGUGACGAGCGUCACAAAGGCUGUGACGAGCGUCACGCUUUGCACACUCCUGUGACGAGCGUCACACAUGGUGUGACGGACGUCACACCAUUCCCCUAUAUUUUUGGCACCAGGAACGCAACAGACCACGUUGAAACAGACCACGUUGAAGCUACUUCCACGCUUGACCCUUGNGAGAGAUGGGUGCGGAGAUAGUGCUUGUUUAAGCGGUUGAAAUGCUUCUAGAACAUUUUUGUCGAAUAUGAAUUCAGCAUCUUUCAUUAUACCGGUUAAAGGGUUAGUUUUUAAGAGAAUCUUUUAAUGAAUCAUCGGUAAAAACCGGCAUGUCCUAAGAAGCUUCGACUUUCCAACAGUUUCGGAGGUUAAGAUUUUAGAUUACCUCUAUUAGGCUUUGUCUAUCUUCAAUUCCUCUGUUUCGAGAUGAUGUGUCCUAAAACAAUCCCCUUCUGUACCAUAAGGUGGCAUUUUUUCCCAAUUAAAGUACUAAGGUUUACUUUUACACAUCGCUCUAGAACUCUUUCUAGGUUUUCAAGGCAUUCUUCAAAGCUUGUCCGCAUACGGAAAGUCAUCCAUAAAACUCCAUGAAUGUGUCUAGAAAAUCGCGAAUAUGGCAAUCAUGCACAUUUGGAAAGUUGCAGAGCAUACACAAAGCCAAGACAGCAUUCCGCUAUAAGCGAAGGUACAAAGGCAUGUGGAACGUUGUCUUUUCUUGGUCAUCAGGGUGAAUUGGAAUUUGAAAAGAAACCUGAGUAAGCCGUCUAGAUAAGCAGGAAAUCGAGAAUGUUUUGCUAAUCGUCUAACACCAUCUGGUCAAUGAUGGUAAAGGAAUGAUUUUCGGUUGCUUGUUUAGUUUCCUAUAGUCAUGCAUAUUUCAUCCCGAUUCGAUUGUUUGGUUAUAGUCUCUUCUCAUUUUCAAAUUGACUGUUAACCUCCUUUCUUUGGUACUAAGUGUACAGGACUAAACCCCAUUUGCUAAUCAGAUAUAGGAUAUAGAUACCGGACUCUAAUUAACGUUGUGUUAUUUCCUUCUUCACUCCUCACUCUGCAGGAUCGGGUUUAGUCUCCUCUUGGUUUCCUAUAGAAGUUUUACAGUCUUCUUCUAGCAUGAUGCGGUGCAUACAAAUAGAGGGACUUAUUCCUUUAAGAUCGGUUGAGUUGUAACCUAUGUGUGGUUGGAUAUUUUCUUAAGAUAUGCUGAGUUUUUCUGUUUUCGAGUCUUCCUAGGUUCAGCAUUGAACUAUCACUGCGUUCAAGCUCUAGUCUAGGAAUUCAUAUCUCUAGAUUCCUUUGGGGAAGUGUUUUCACGGUCUAAGGUUGGUUUCUUUAAGGCACUUGCGUAGGGUCCGGUGUUAUUGCUAAAACAUUGGUUAAGUUUGUCUCUACAGAAGAUAGUUGGAUCGAAUUGUCUUUUCUAACUCCGUUUCUUUUAUGCAUUCAAAUGCGAUGGAUAUCCAUGAAAGUAAAUGUAUCUUCCUAUUCGCAGGUGCUUUUCAAACAAUUGGGAAAGAUGACAUGUCAAUUUCUCUUCUCUCUACUUCCAAGUUGAGUCGUCCUCGUUUUAACGUCUAUGAUUGCACCGGCAGUUGCCUAGAAGGUCUUCCCAGUAUAAUGGGUGUAACUCAUCUUCUCUAAUAUCCAUAAUUAUAAAAUCAGUUGGAAUGUAGAAUUGACCUAUGCGCGUACUGGAACGUUUUCAAGAAUUCCUACACAGGAUAUUGAAGGAACGAUCUGCUAGUGCACAGACAUUUUAGUUGGUCUAUAAUUCUCGCCAUUUCAAGUCUCUUGCAUAUGGAUAAAGGCAUAACACUAAUACCGCUCCUAAAUCGCAUAAGGUUUGUCAAUGACAAAUUUCCUAUGUGACAGGGUAUAGAGAAACUACCUGGGUCUUUAAGUUUAGGAGGCAUAUUUUGGAUUAUAGUGCUACAUUCAGCGUGAGGUAUACGGUUUCGCUAUCUUCAGUUUCUUUUAUUAGAAGAAUUCUUUUAAAAACUGGCAUAUGAGGGCAUCUGCGUAAUAGCUUCUGUACACGGAAUUGUGACGUUUAAUUGUUUUAGUAGGUCAACAAUUUUUUGAAUUGGCCGCAUCUUUGGUUUAAUAAGCCUUUGAGGGUAAGGGAUAGGUGGUUUAUAAGGUGGUGAGUACAUAAAGUUCCUUCUUUUCUACGGUUUCCUUAUUACUCUCUUCCUUUUCCUUAGGUUCACUCCUCCUCAGUUGACUUUUAGAGUUUUGGUUUCUAUCCUUGGGUCAGACGGUCCUCACACUUCGUUCACUUCUCUAGUAUAAUUGCAUGAGCGUGGCUUCUUGGGUUAGGUUGGGGUUGGCCAGGAAAUGUACCAGUUGGGGCAGAGUACGGCAGCUUGUUGUUGAGCUACUUGUGAAAUUUGCGGUUUCCAGCAUUUUGUUAUGAGUAGCCAGGGCAUCUACUUUACUUGCUAGUUGUUUAAUUUGUUUCGCUCAGUGUGUACAUUCUGGUUUAAGAAUCUUUAUUGGUUUGCUAUUGAGAAGCUAUAAGUUUUCCAUCAUGAUUUCCAAGUUGAUUUCCUAGGGGCGUUAUUGUUAGGUGUAGAUGGGAAUCGGCUUCUGAUAUCUCCGGAGGUAAUGCCUGGGGCUUGAUAUCGAUUGUCAAGUGCGUAAAAAGCAUAUACUUCUUAUAUGAAAAAUUGGGAAUGAUUAUUCCAAUUUGAGUUAUAGGUGUGGCGAGUAGGGGCUUUCCUUGAGCAUAGUUUACUUUGCUCCGGCUUGAAUUCCUGUUAGGAGUUGACAAUCUCAGGGUGGUGGACCUUGAUUCCACAGCACUUCGCAUUCUGAGUUAUGGUAACCACGGUGGCUGGAGGUGAUACAUUUAAACUUUCAUAUUUCUGGACCAGAGCAUCCACUUUGCAUUAACAUGAUCAAGGUUACUUAUCUCGUAAUGCCAGUUUUCGUUUGAGGUUUUUCUACAUUGUUCGUUCGCUUGCCCUGAUAGUGGUUUUGAGCCAUGGCUUUCGAUAAGUUGGUAAGCAUCAGCAUAAGGUUUGUUUCAUCAGUGCACCACGCGGCGACGUCUAUUGUUAACCUCGUGUUGUACAGGAGACCAUUAUAGAAGGUAUGAAUUACUAACUAGUCCUCUAAACCAUGGUGUGGACAAAGUCUCAUCAUGUCUUGUACUUCCAUGCUUCGAAAAGAGACUCGUUAUCUUUCUGUUUAAAUCCAUUUAUCUGGGCUCUUAACAUAGCUGUUUUGCUUGGCGGAAAAUAUCGAGCAAGAAAAACUUUCUUCAACUCGUUCCAUGUGGUGACUGAGUUGGGAAGGAAGAAGAUUGAAGCCAUCUUCUAGCGCUAUCUCUAUGAGAAAGGAAAAAAGAAGAAGUCGAAUUGCCUCUGAAGUGACACCAUUAGCUUUAACAGUAUCAGCGUAUUGGACAAAUACGGAUAAAUGAGGUUUGGAUCCUCGUAGGAUUUCCAGAGAAUUGGUCUGUUGCACUGCUGCAACGUGAAGGUUGAGUUCAAAAGUUGUUUGCUUCGAUUGCGGGUGGAGCAAUACUCGAAUGCGGCUCAUCUUGCGGAUGGAGGGCGGCAAAUCUCUAGAGCACGAGCUGGUUUCUGCCAUCUCGGGUAUCGAAGGAAAAUAUUUUUGAAUCGGGAAGUUCAACAGGAGGGAGAUUGUUUGCAGCGACGAUAUUCCCGAAUUCGUCAUAAGACUCGGAGAUAUAGUUCGAUAUCGUUGAUUCGUAAGUAGAACAGCUCGCCUGUGAGCGAGUGUGUGGCAUACAAAUCAACGAAAGAAAGAAAGAAAAAGAAAAGCCUUAGUCUCUACAGCGUAACAGAAGAGUUAUAUAUCGACUAAAUAAAAGUCCCGGCAACGACGCCAAAAACAUGAUCGCGACUUUAUGAGUCGAAUUUGGGUACAAACUGCAGUGCACAGUUCUAUCGCGUAGUUUUAAAAGAUAUCGAUCCCACAGGGACUUAUGAAUCGAUAUAACCGUUAUCUAAGGUUACUUCGUAAAGCUAAGGCAGGUAAUACUUUGAUUGUUUGGGGGAAAAGCUAAAACUAAAAUAAUCUAAAAUAAUAUCUAAUAAGCGGAUAUCGUAUGUAGUUCGUCGUAAUUAGGGAAUCAAUUCUUCGUUGGUUUCUUGUUUAAAAUAAAUCUUUUUCAGUUGACACUAUUGAUUAAAGUCUUAUCUCAAACUCUCGCUCUGUUGAAUAAACUAGAAUUAUAUUAAUAACGUAGCUGUCACUUAUAGUUAAGUCAAAAACCACUUUUUGAAACAAUAGAAUCCGUAGAAACACUUUUAGAAAACACUAAUCGUUUAAACACCCUUAUCUCAAACUCUCGCUCUGUUGACUUAGGUUAUAUAAUUAAAUUCAAAUGCUUAACUCGUCCUCACAUUCAAUCUUUAAAAAUACUUUUGAAAAGAUUAGAAUUUAAUUAACUCUAAAAAUUGCUCUCGCCCUGAUCUAGAAUUAAUGUCCAAUUAACACUGUCCAGUCAAAAACUCAAACUCUCGUUCUAUUGCUUUUAACUUCUUUAUGUCUUUUACUUUCGUACAAAACCUUGUUAUUAAACCUGUAAAUUGAGACCGUAAAAAGAGUGAUUUUAAUUUUACACUUAAUUAAACCAUUUGGUUUGAUUCCUUCAUUCCGCUUACUUUACAUACCGAUACCUAAGUAAAUCAGCCAGACAUGCUAAACAGACUUAAAUAAUUAUCAUGCAUAAACAGAUUCAUCUCAGGCAAAUAAUAUAAAUAAACAGUAAAACAGAGCAUAUAUAAAUUCAAACAAUAAUAAAGAACCUGAGAAAUUAAAUAGCAGUCUUGAACACUCCACCACAGGCCGGUUGGAUUUGUUCUUGAAUUCUUCAAUCAAACAGAAAAAUAAAGCGAAGGAAUAAAAAAACUAGAUUCUAACGUAAGGUUAGAUCCGGUAAAAGGUACACAAUAGUUUCCGGUGUAGAAACUAUUGUGCGAAAAAGAAUUAACUAAGUGCUGAAAAGGAAAAUAGAAAUUGCAAGGGAAACAAUAUAAAACUCGUAAAAGCAUGCUGUAAAAAUGUGCUUGUACUUCUGGAAAAGAAAAAAUGCGAGAAAGCGAAAACGGCGAAGAAAUCUGGAAAAAGCGUGGAACCGAGAGCUUUCCAAAAAGCUACUAUUUAUACUGCUACUUGUGUACUGCUUCCAAGGGUUUUCCGUGUACACGGUCUUACGUUCCAAGGGUCAGCGUGGAAGUAGCUUCAACUGGUCGUUUCAACGUGGUCUGUUGCGUUUCCUGGUGCAAAAAUAUAGGGAAUGGUGUGACGUCCGUCACACCAUGUUGACGCUCGUCACACCAGUGUGACGCUCGUCACACCAUGUGUGACGCUCGUCACAUGCAGUGUGGCAAAGCGUGACGCUCGUCCACAGGCACAGCGCCUGUGCUUUUUGGGCUGGGCUUUGCCUUUGAUUUUUGCUUCUUUUUAUUCUUUUGGCACCUCCUUUCUUCCUUUUUACUUGUGCUUCUAAAUCUACAAGAGUUCGAUUUGGAAAUCAAAGACAAGAAAGGAACUGAAAACGUAGUAGCAGAUCACCUCUCUAGACUUGAGAACCUUGAACCGGAAAGAACAUCGAUCAAUGAUGAUUUCUCGUACGAUACACUUAUAGCUACUUUGGAAGAAAAUAAAGCUGAUAAACAGGUAGAAACCACCUUAGCUAUAUCCGUUACACCGUGGUACGCUGACCUCGUCAAUUAUUUAGCUGCCGGAAUAAUUCCACCUACCUUAUCCUACCAACAGAAGAAAUGAUUCUUCUAUGACAUAAAACACUAUUACUGGGAUGACCCCUUACUUUUUAAAAGAGGCCCCGAUGGUAUUUUCCGUCGGUCUAUACCCGAAGAAGAGGUAGAAAAUAUAAUCCAACACUUCACUCCGCUCCUUAUGGUGGACAUGCAAGUACAUCCAAGACCUGCUCAAAAAUCCUACAAGCCGGUUUCUGUUGGCCAAAUAUAUGGAAGGAUGUACAUGCAGCUAUUAAGAAAUGUGACAGAUGUCAACGCACAGGAAACAUAUCUAGACGUGACGAGAUGCCACAAAAGGGCGUUUUGGAAGUAGAGAUUUUCGACGUGUGGGGAAUAGACUUCAUGGGACCUUUUCCAUCCUCUUUCGGUAACAAAUACAUACUCGUGGCAGUUGACUACGUAUCGAAAUGGAUUGAAGCUAUAGCUUCUCCAACAAACGACACACGAGUAGUAACUAGACUCUUUAAGAAUAUAAUAUUUCCAAGGUUUGGUGUCCCAAGAAUAGUAGUCAGUGAUGGUGGAUCGCAUUUCAUAUCCAAGGUACUCGAAAAACUACUGCUUAAGUAUGGCGUAAGACAUAGAGUAGCGACACCUUACCACCCUCAAACCAGUGGGCAAGUGGAAGUGUCUAACAGAGAAAUCAAACAGAUACUAGAGAAAACAGUCGCCACUUCAAGGAAAGACUGGUCAUUGAAAUUACCAGAAGCUUUAUGGGCUUACCGAACUGCUUACAAAACUCCCAUAGGGACAACCCCAUUUAAGCUAAUUUAUGGAAAAUCCUGUCACCUCCCGGUAGAAUUAGAACAUAAAGCCUAUUGGGCUAUUAAAAAUCUAAAUUUAAACUAUAAAGCCGCCGGCGAAAAGAGAAUCCUUGAUAUAAGCGAAUUAGAGGAACUCAGAAGAGACGCUUACGAAAAUGCCAGAAUCUACAAAGAAAGAACAAAACAAUGGCAUGACAAGCGCAUAUCAAGGAAAAUCUUCAAACAAGGCGAUACAGUCCUUUUAUUUAACUCCAGACUAAAGUUAUUCCCGGGAAAACUACGAUCUAGAUGGUCAGGUCCUUUUCAAAUCACCAAUGUUUUUCCCAGUGGAGCAGUAGAAAUUAAAGGCAAAUCUAUGGAACCAUUUACCGUAAACGGGCAACGUCUAAAACAUUAUCACUAUGCAGAAAACACUGAAGAUUCGCAAGUCUUGCACUUAGACGAAAUGCCUCCAGAACUUAUAGAUUAUAAUUGAUAGUUUUUAUGUCGAGCUUGCGACAUUAAACAAAGCGCUUAGUGGGAGACAACCCACAAAUAUUUUAUUAUUUUCUUCUAUUAUUAUUUUUCUAUUUCUUCCUUAAUUAUUCUUUUAAUUUUUGUUUAGUAUUCAUUCUUAAUUUAUUUUAAUUUAUUAAAAACUUUUCUCUUCUUCUUUCGGCAUUUGGCCAAAUCCUGACUAAAACUCUUGUUUUUCUUUUCUCUAGCUAACACUAACCUGAUGGGACAAAUUGAUCGUAUGGGUAUCAAAUUCAGAGGAACAGCUCAGAAACAAAAGUUUGAGGAACUAGCCACGAGAGAGAUGCUACCUAGUCUGUAUGCUGAUGACUGGGCAAUGACUGCCCUUGGACUAAGACAAAGUGUCCUGUAUUUGCUGAGUCAGAUAGGGUGGGAAACCGCUCCUAUCCGUAGACAAUUUGUCACUUACCGGAGACUGACUCUAGAAUUCCUUAGUUCUCUGAUCUAUCUACCCAGCCAUGGAAAAGGAAUAAGCAGAGGUUUUAUCCAGUUCAGAAUGUUUAACAUGGAGUACCAAUUUAAUAUUCAAGAUUUUACCAACCUUUUAGGUUUCCCUACAUCCUUUGACACAUUCACAGUGAGCCAAGAAGAACUUUUCGAAUAUAGAGAACUUGAACACUUUUGGGGUAACUUGACUGGAAAUGACGAUCCCGAGGAACAUGACUUUCUCUCUGGAAACAUGCAUAACCCGGCCUUCUGUUAUUUCCAUAAGAUCCUGACCCACACCUUAUCUGGGAAGAAGCCAAACAGUACCACAGUUUCACGUGAUGAACUCUUCAUCAUAUUUUGUGCUUCCCAGAACCGUCCAGUAAACGGUGCCAUUUUUAUGUUGGCAAAUUUAGACCACCUUAUCCAAGAUGAACGAGCACCAAUUCGAAUAGGCGGUUUGAUAACCAUGAUUGGUAAUGAUAUCGGAUUACGUCAGCCUAUGCUUGACUUAAGCCCUUUUUGUGGCAUUACUACUAUGAGUAUACCCUUCCUCUUCAACACUAUGUUUAUAAGCAAACCUAGGAUCUGACGAGUUUGAGCUUAUAAUUAAUAACCAAGUUCUUUGCCUAUUCACCAUGCCCGAUCCUAGGACUAGUGUUCAUAACCGCAAUAACUGGCUCUACAAUCUGAACGAAACCCCCUCUCCUGCUAGAUCCACUGAAUCCAUCCAGGACUAUGAGAUUUGUGAUGACCAGAUUCCUUAUGCUGAAUCAGACCCUCAGACACCAUCUGGUUAUUAUGAUAUUGAUCCUCCUCCUCAACCUGUUCAGACCGAAGAAUCGGCAAUACCCGACCUUAGACAUCAUAUGCCCGGAACUGAUUAUAACACCGCCAUUGAAGCUUUGAUGUCAGAACAAGACGCCCUCAGAGAAGAGUUCGCUAACAUGAGACACGAAUUUCUAGGAUACAUGAACGGUAUGACAAAUCAGUUUCACGAGUUGCUAAACCGUGUUAACUCCUUUGCUCCUCCGGCCAGAGAUCGUGCAGAUGGAUAGAAGUUGUUUUUCUUAGUUAUCUAGUUUUAGUUAGUUUUAUUAUUUAAUGUUAUUUCAAAUUAUGUUCGUAUUUGUUUCUCUUUCGCAUUUUUGUUUUUUUUCCCAUGUUACAUUAUGAUUAUUUUAUGAAGCUAUUGAAUUAUCCUAUUUUAUUAUGAAUUAUGCAAUAUCUAUCAAAAAAAUGCUCUCUACUGUUGCUGCCUACAUAAAUUAUUAACAAUAUAAUACAUUUAUGCACUAUUAUACAAAGUAGAAUAGCAUGCAGGGAAAUUAAACAGCAAAAUAAAAUAAUCUGAAGCAAAACAAAAUAAAUAAUAAAAAUAAAUUACCAAAAUCAUUAUGAAGAACGCAAGCAAAAACCAUGCCAAAAAGACUGUGUGACGAGCGUCACACAACCUAUCACGGACGUCACGCCAAGUGCUUGUGACGCCCGUCAUGCCCCUGUAACGACCGUAACACCUUGCUGGCCAGGUGAACGUUACAAAGCCGUUGGAGACGACCGUUACACCUCUUCAACUUUUUACCUUCCCCAUUUAUUCACAUUUACCCACAUUUAUUUACUUUUCAACCACUCCCUUUCCAACUUCAAAUUUUUUCCUAUAAAUACCCACCAUACCUUUCUUCCUACAUCACAACUAUUCUAUACAAUCAAAUAUAUUUUCUUUUCUUUCCUAAUUACUUCUUCCAACUCAUUCAUCAGUAUGGCGGGAAAUCAAAAUUUCGGAAACAUCAUCUUCCGAUCUGAAGAUGAUAACUAUCAAAGAGAGCAAUUCGAGCGUUUCCAACAACGAGGUGUCACCUCUACCAGGUAUCCUGAUUCAACUUGUUUACAACAAUUAGGAUUACUUCAAGGUAUCGAGUGGAUGCUCCGCCUUGCCGAUCUAACCUUUCUAUGCACUCAUAAUCAACCCACCUACCCCUCCCUAACCUUAGAAUUCUUAAGUUCAUAUGCGUACAACACUCCCACCGGUGAGGACGAAUUCUUAACCGGUACCGCAACCUUCCGUAUGUUCAACACCGAGUACUCCCUAUCCCAAAACCAAUUGAGUACCAUGCUACAAUUCCCCAUAGAAGGUCAAGUCUACCCCAGAAUCCCUCCAAACCUAAACUGGAACACAGUUGCCGCUUUCGACCUCUUUAGGAAAAUAUCCGGUGUAGAUGCCAACAACUGGGAAGAGCUCCUUGUUUCCCAUAUACAUAACCCAACUAUCCGGUACUUUAUCCGCAUCCUACAAAACACAGUUUUUGGAAGACCGAACAACAGCAAGGUCAACGCAAAGGAACUAUUCUUCCUCGAAUGCGUCUUCGAACCGAAUGCUAAGGUAAACGCCGCCUCCUUCCUAUUUCAUCAUAUCCGCACCUUAUGUGCUAGAGGCCGUCAACCUUUUGUAAUUGGUGGAUUAAUCACCACCAUAGCACUUGGCUUAAACCUAGGGGACCGACUCCAAACUUUAGAAUCUUUACCUCCCCUAUUUAUGGAUAUAAGCUACUGUCGGUCCAGCCGCCUAAUAAAGAACAGAGUAGGCGGAAAAUAUUACCUUAUGGUGAAUAACCAGGCAGUCCCAAGCGUUGUUCUACCCAACAUUGCCCUAACCGAUGUCACCAAUCCCAACCGCCACCUCUAUGAUCUGAAUGCUCCCGAAGCUACCGAGCCUUCACAUACAAACCCGUCUGCAGACGAGUUCGAAGAAAUGGAGCAAGGUGAUAACGCUCCUGCACAACAAUCAGUCCCGCUCAACCCUUCCGAUACUGCAGCUGGCCCAUCCUCCCGACGUCGUCGACGAAGAAGGCCUGCAACCAACGACGACAUCAUGGAUGCUAUUGAUGGUAUGCAAGCACAGAAUCUCGAAAUGAUGCAAAUGAUGCGCCAAAUGCAACAACAACAGGAAGAGAGGAAUGCCAUAACCGACCAGCGGUUCACUGAUUUGCUUAGCAGGUUUGAUAACUUAGAAGUACAUCAACGAUCACCAGGUCCAAGAACAAGAGGCGGCAGGCAGCCUUAACUUUAGUUUCCUUUUCCUUUCUUUUUGUAAUUCAUUUCUUUUCCUUAAAACAUUGGGGACAAUGUUUCAUUCAAGUAUGGGGGGGAAAACCGUGUUCUUUCUAUCCUCCUUUUUCUUUUUCAAGUAUGUAUCUUUCUUUUCAUUGUUAUUUCCCUUAUAAAAAAAAUAUAAUAAAAUAAUAUUUCUUAUAAUAUAGAUUUAUUUUAAGUUAAGUCCCAAGUGUGAAAACUUUCUAUUAUCUAUUCCCCUCAAUUUUCAUGAGCCAUAACAAAAAUUCAACACACUCAAUAAGUAUAAAGGUCGCUUAUUUUAUAAAACUUGAGUGAAAUCAAGACAAAAAUUAUUACCAUAACAACGCUCUAAGAACCUCAACAUGUUAGAUCAGGAUAAGUACCUAUUAUACCAAUCCCUUGAACUUUUAGUUUUAUAGUAACCCCGAGUAGUUUAUACGAGAAGUCAGCACCAUCUUAAUAGCAAACUACGUGGAGAGCCGAUGAAUAUAAGUGAAUGAUUCCCAAAGUAACAUAAAAAAUAUAUAUAUAUAUCUGGAAAUGCACUAAUUAAGUUAGGUGAUCCUUACCAGAUCAUUUAAUCUAAAGGUUGCAGAUCAUACAAAAGCAUAAUAUGAAAGAUCCAUUAUGAGUUGGUUCAGCAGGUAUCUGGUACUGAACUUGGUAGGGCGGACUACGGUCCGAUCCCCCGCAAUUUGCAAUGGACUGAAUAACGAAGUUAUCCGACUUAUGUACCAGAACUUCUAGCUAAAAGGGGAUCAGAAUCACUAACCGGUUACUCCACUAUGUGCGCGAAAAGAUAAAGGGCUUAAUGUGAUUUCGCUAGAAUGAAAACGGGUGAAAUAAGAGUAAAGGAACUAGGAUAGCUAUAAUGGCAUUACUCGAACUGGUUUGCAUAAGGUGAGGUUAUCUGAGGUUGUGACGGUGGUUGUUGAUGUCAAGAUUAAACUCAAGUUACUUCUAAACAAGGUUUACAUGCAACCUAGUACGAAUUGAUGUGUGUUUUGAAAUUUCAUCUGGCUAAAAUUUUUAAAACAAGUUCUAUACUGUAUUUUGCUUGAGGACAAGCAAAGAUCUAAGUAUGGGGGAGUUUGAUAACAUGAAAUAAUAUCACAUUUUAGGACUCAAUUUAAUUAAAUUAUAUUAUUAUUUACUUCAAUUUAUUUCAUUUUAUUAGAUAUUACGCGGUAUUUUCUUUCUAUUUAUCUCAGGUGGUUUAUUUGAAGCACAAGUAAAAAAGGAAGAAAAGGAGGUGCAAAAAGGAAUGAAAAGAAGCAAAUAUCAAAAGCCAAAGCCCAGCCCAAAAAGCACAGGCGUUGUGCCUGUGACGAGCGUCACAAAGGCUGUGACGAGCGUCACGCUUUGCACACUCCUGUGACGAGCGUCACACAUGGUGUGACGGACGUCACACCAUUCCCCUAUAUUUUUGGCACCAGGAACGCAACAGACCACGUUGAAGCUACUUUCACGCUUGACCCUUGGAACGUGAAGACCAUGUACACGGAAAACCCUUGGAAGCAGUUACAAAAAGUAGCAGUAUAAAUAGUAGCUUUUUGGAAAGCUCUCGGUUCCACGCUUCUUCGCCGUUUUCUCUUUUUCGCAAUUUUUCUCUUCCAGCAGUACAAGCACAUUUUUACAGCAUUACUUUUACAACUUUUAUAUUGUUUCCUUCGCAGUUUCUAUUUUCUUUUUCAGCACUUAGUUAAUUCUUUUUCGCACAAUAGUUUCUACACCGGAAACUAUUGUGUACCUUUCACCGGAUCUAACCUUACGUUAGAAUCUAGUUUUUUUAUUCCUUCGCUUUUAUUUUUCUGUUUGAUUGAAGAAUUCAAGAACAAAUCCAACCGGCCUGUGGUGGAGUGUUCAAGACUGCUAUUUAAUUUCUCAGGUUCUUUAAUUAUUGUUUGAAUUUAUAUAUGCCCUGCUUUACUGUUUAUUUAUAUUAUUUGCCUGAGAUGAAUCUGUUUAUGCAUGAUAAUUAUUUAAGUCUGUUUAGCAUGUCUGGCUAAUUUAUUUAGGUAUCGGUAUGUAGAGUAAGCGGAAUGAAGGAAUCAAAACUAAAUUGGUUUAAUUAAGUUUAAAAUUAAAAUCACUCUUUUUACGGUCUCAAUUUACAGGUUUAAUAACAAGGUUUUUGUACGAAAGUAAAAGACAUAAAGAAGUUAAAAGCAAUAGAACGAGAGUUUGAGUUUUUGACUGGACAGUGUAAAUUGGACAUUAAUUCUAGAUCAGGGCGAGAGCAAUUUUUAGAGUUAAUUAAAUUCUAAUCUUUUUCAAAAAGUAUUUUUAAAGAUUGAAUGUGAGGACGAGAGUUAAGCAUUUGAAUUUAAUUAUAUAACCUAAGUCAACAGAGCGAGAGUUUGAGAUAAGGGUGUUUAAACGAUUAGUGUUUUCUUAAAAAGAGUUUCUACGGAUUCUAUUGUUUUCAAAAAGUGGUUUUUGACUUAACUAUAAGUGACAGCUACGUUAAUAUAAAAUCAUAGUUUAUUCAACAGAGCGAGAGUUUGAGAUAAGACUUUUAAUCAAUAGUGUCAACUGAAAAGAUUUAUUUUAAAACCAAGAAACCAACGAAGAAUUGAUUCCCUAAUUACGACGAACUACAUACCGAUAUCCGCUUAUUAGAUAUUUAUUUUAGAUCUUAUUUUAGUUUUAGCUUUUCCCCCAAACAAUCAAAGUAUUACCUGCCUUAGCUUUACGAAGUAACCUUAGAUAACGGUAUAUCGAUUCAUAAGUCUCUGUGGGAUCGAUAUCUUUUAAAACUACGCGAUAGAACUGUGCACUUGCAGUUUGUACCCCAAAUUCGACUCAUAAAGUCGCGAUCAGUGUUUAAGUCUGUAUUUUAUGUCAUGGAUAUUCAGCCGGCAUACAGCUGCCUGUUGGAUCGACCGUGGAUACACGCUGCUGGGGCAGUAACCUCGACUUUACACCAGAAAUUAAAGUAUAUCUGGGACGGGCAGGUCGUAACCGUUUGUGGGGAAGAAGACAUCUUCGUCAGUCACCUGUCAUCGUUCAAGUAUGUUGAAAUGGACGGUGAGAUAUUUGAAACACCAAGUCAAGCAAUCGAAACCGUCAAGGUGGAGAAUGCCAUUUUUGCUAAGGAGGAGAAGAAGUCGUCCAUUUCUUCGUACAAGCAGGCCGCCGAGGUGGUGAAGAGUGGAGAAGCCCCAGGUUGGGGGAGGAUGAUGGACAUCGCCACCAAGAAAGACAGGUUUGGGGUUGGUUAUCAGCCGGGCCGAGGCUCGUCUGGGCAGAACAGAGGACGUCGCCAACCAUUCACGUUCACCAGUGCUGGAAUGCUAGAUCCAGAUCGCAUCUGUGUGGUGGGUGAAGAGGUCGACAGUGACUGCGAGCUUGAUCAAUGGAUAAAACCGUGCAUACCAGGGAUGGAGAUCCAAAACUGGAAGGCCGAAAAGAUCAUCACUGUCACUCUACGUGAAGAGUAAUAUUUCUUGUUUUUCAAUUCUGUCUGCAUGAAAGCCAUGCGUUUUGCCCGAAACGUAAUGGUUCAUUGUAAGGGCCACCUCAUGCGCUUCAUUUUGCAAUAUUUGCAUCAUUAAUAAAAGGAUGUUUUUCAUUAAAAGCGGUGUUCCCUGUUUUUCAUUUAUUUUUGCAGUUUAAUAAAAUAAAUAAAAAUGGUAAUGUUUGUUUUCAUUUUCCUUUUAAAUUUGUUUCGUUCCGGCUCUAAAGCAAUGCAUGAAUCAACAUUCAUGCAGAUGCGAUCAUUCUCCGGAUCUCAUUGAUAACAAUCCUGUUACACCCUCAUAACUGAAGCUGUUAGGCUAGAUAGUAGCCGAAGAAGAAGGCGAAGAAGAUUGUGAACUGCCGGAGGAAUUAGCCAGGUUGUUGAAGCAAGAGGAGAAGGUGAUUCAACCGCACGAAGAGCAAGUCGAGAUUGUGAAUCUGGGUACCGAGGAGGUCAGAAAAGAAGUGAAAGUCGGGGCCGCUUUGGAGGUAAAUGUCAAGAGCAAAAUGGUAGCGCUGUUGAAAGAGUAUAUUGAUAUCUUCGCCUGGUCCUAUCAGGAUAUGCCAGGGUUGGAUACCGAUAUUGUUGUGGACAGGUUGCCAUUGAGAGAAGAUUGUCCUCCAGUGAAGCAGAAGUUGCGCAGAACUCGACCCGAGAUGGCCAUGAAGAUCAAAGAGGAAGUACAGAAGCAGUUGGAUGCUGGUUUCCUAGCUGUCACUAAUUAUCCGCCUUGGGUCGCGAACAUUGUGCCAGUGCCAAAGAAAGAUGGAAAGGUGAGAAUGUGUGUGGACUACCGGGAUCUGAGCAGAGCUAGCCCGAAGGAUGAUUUCCCAUUACCUCACAUUGACGUAUUGGUAGAUAAUACAACUCAGUUCUCGGUGUUUUCCUUCAUGGAUGGCUUUUCUGGCUAUAAUCAAAUCAAAAUGUCGCCAGAUGAUAUGGAGAAAACAACGUUCAUUACACCGUGGGGCACUUUUUGCUAUAAGGUGAUGCCAUUCGGUCUCAAAAACGCCGGUGCCACGUAUCAAAGGGCCAUGGUGACUUUGUUUCAUGAUAUGAUUCAUCAUGAAAUCGAAUGCUAUGUUGAUGACAUGAUAGCAAAGUCCCAAACAGAAGAGGGGCAUUUGGUAGACUUGGCCAAGCUGUUUGACCGGUUGAGACGAUUCAGACUGAGGUUGAAUCCGAAUAAGUGCACUUUCGGAGUGCGGUCCGGUAAGUUGUUGGGGUUUAUUGUGAGCGAAAGAGGAAUCGAGGUUGAUCCUGCUAAAGUAAAAGCAAUACAAGAAAUGCCUGAACCGAGAACAGAAAAGGAGGUUCGUGGUUUCUUAGGUAGAUUGAACUACAUUUCACGGUUCAUAUCUCAUCUAACAGCCACGUGUGAACCUAUAUUCAAGUUGUUGAGAAAAGAUCAAACGGUCAGGUGGAAUAAUGAUUGCCAAGCGGCAUUUGAAAAGAUAAAAGAGUAUUUGCAGGAGCCUCCGAUUCUGAUGCCUCCUGUGGAGGGACGACCGUUAAUUCUGUACUUGACGGUCCUCGAGGGGUCUAUGGGGUGUGUAUUGGGGCAGCAUGACGAGUCUGGUCGAAAAGAGCAUGCCAUAUACUACCUUAGCAAAAAGUUUACCGACUGUGAAACAAGAUAUUCACUGCUCGAGAAAACUUGCUGUGCUUUGGUCUGGGCUGCUCGCCGACUAAGGCAGUAUAUGCUGGUUCAUACCACUUUAUUGAUUUCCAAGAUGGAUCCAAUCAAGUAUAUUUUUGAGAAGCCAACAUUGACCGGACGGGUUGCGAGGUGGCAAAUGAUUUUGACAGAAUAUGAUAUACAGUAUACCUCUCAGAAGGCGAUCAAGGGGAGUGUAUUGUCUGAUUACCUCGCCCAGCAACCCAUUGAUGAUUAUCAACCGAUGAAGUUUGAAUUCCCUGAUGAGGACAUCAUGUUUCUCAAAUCGAAAGAUUGUGAGGAACCAAUCCCGGAGGAGGGGCCUGACCCUGAAUCCGAAUGGAUUCUGAUGUUUGAUGGGGCCGUUAACGUGAAUGGUAUUGGAGUUAGUGCUAUUUUGGUUACACCGAAAGGAUCCCACAUUCCUUUUGCUGCCCGGCUAACAUUUGAGUGCACCAACAAUGUGGCUGAAUACGAAGCUUGUAUCUUGGGGGUCGAAGAGGCGAUUGAUUUGCGGAUCAAGAACCUUGUCAUAUAUGGAGAUUCAGCUCUGGUUGUGAAUCAGGUUAACGGAAAAUGGUAUACGCAUCAAUCUCACUUAAUUCCAUACCUGGACUGUACGAGGAGGUUGUUGACGUUUUUCACCAAGGUGGAAUUACACCAUGUGCCUAGAGAAGAGAAUUUGUUGGCAGAUGCGUUGGCUACUCUGGCCGCCUUGAUUAAGGUGCAGUGGUGGAACCAGUUCCCCAGCGUUUGAGGUGGGACGUCUGGAUAGACCGGCUUAUGUGUUUGCUGUUGAGACAGCGCCUGAUGAUGAAAAGCCGUGGUAUUAUGAUAUCAAGCGCUAUCUGGAAACCCAAGAAUAUCCUGAGGGAGCAUCCAAAAAGGACCGGAAGACUCUGAGGAGGUUGGCCAUGGCGUUCUAUCUGAAUAAGGAUGGGAUUUUGUACAAGCGGAAUUUCGAUUGGGUUUUGCUCAGAUGUGUUGAUGACAAAGAAGCAAGCCAAUUGAUGAAGGAGGUACAUGAGGGGUCGUUUGGUACCCAUGCCAAUGGGAAUGCAAUGGUGAAAAAACUGUUAAGAGUUGGGUAUUAUUGGAUGACGAUGGAGGCCCAAUGUUUCAAUUUCGUGCGGAAAUGUCAUAAAUGCCAGAUUUAUGCUGAUAGGGUGCACGUGCCUCCAAACCCGUUGAGUUUGAUGUCGUCUCCGUGGCCGUUUGCUAUGUGGGGCAUUGAUAUGAUUGGGAAGGUCGAGCCUACGGCUUCAAAUGGGCACCGGUUCAUAUUAGUGGCUAUCGACUACUUCACCAAGUGGGUGGAAGCAGCGUCUUAUGCUAAUGUGACGAAGCAGGUCGUGGCCAGGUUCCUCAAAAGAGACAUCAUUUGCAGAUAUGGGGUUCCUGAAAGAAUCAUUACUGAUAAUGGUUCUAAUCUCAACAAUAAGAUGAUGGCAGAACUGUGCCGAGAAUUCAAGAUCGAGCAUCACAAUUCUUCUCCUUAUCGUCCGAAGAUAAAUGGGGCGGUCGAGGCAGCUAAUAAGAAUAUUAAGAAGAUUGUGCAGAAAAUGGUCGUGACCUAUAAGGAUUGGCACGAGAUGUUGUCGUUUGCAUUGCAUGGGUAUCGAACCUCGGUGCGUACGUCUACUGGGGCAACACCUUUCUCGCUUGUGUAUGGGAUGGAAGCCGUGCUACCGGUUGAGGUUCAGAUUCCUUCUUUAAGAGUCCUGAUGGACGUGAAAUUGCAAGAAGCUGAGUGGGUAAGGACUCGGUACGAAGAGCUGAGCCUGAUUGAGGAAAAGAGGCUGGCGGCCAUUUUUCAUGGGCAGUUGUACCAGCAGCGGAUGAAGCGUGCUUUUGACCGAAAGGUACGACCUCGUGUGUACCACAUAGGAGAUCUGGUGUUGAAAAGGAUCCUUCCUCCUCAAAAUGAUCGUCGGGGCAAGUGGGCACCCAAUUAUGAAGGCCCAUUCGUGGUCAAGAAGGUUUUCUCUGGCGGAGCCUUGUUGUUAACGACCAUGGAUGGCGAGGAUUUUCCAUCCCCUGUGAAUGCGGACGUAGUUAAAAAAUACUUCGUAUAAGAGACCCGCUGGACGAAAAGAAUUAAAUAUGUCCAGGCAAAAUAUGGGAUCCCGGCGAACCGAGAAAAAAAUGAAAAAAGGUUCGGGCAAAAAUUGAUAAAAAGGAAAAACUAUACACACGGCAAGUCGAAAAAACCCCACAAGGGCGGCUUGGGCAAAAAAGGGUAUCCCGGUGGACUGAAAACCCGAAAGGGCGGUCCAGGCAAAAGAGGGAUUGAAACGAACAACUGCGUCUGGCAUGAUCGUUUGUACUUUGAAUAUGACAUGGAUAAUCCCCGACAAGGAUCGGUCGGAAGCGUCUUGUUCAGAAGGUAGAAAGUGCGGAGAGUCUUGAGGAUAUAUGGAGUGUAACCGAGUUGGAACUCGAUGAGAUCGCGGGUUCACAUUGCCAUUAGGAUAGAUUUUCCUUUUGUGCAAUUACCUCUUUUCAGGGAUUGCUUCCUGUGAAUUUCUCAGUUUUGAGCCACCUUUUUCAAUCAAUAAAAUGCAUAUUCAGUCAAAUCAUUUUGUUUUUGUUUUUCAUUACCGCUUUGAUUGCAAAAACAUCCGUUUAUUUUGAUAAAGAAUCUUUGCAUUUUGAGACAUGGAGGUCCCUUCCGAUGCAUGUUUAUAAGAUUGAAAACGUGAAAUCUUAUUCGGAAGGUAGAGUGACCUAGGUGUUGAAAUGUUGGCACGCCUGGGGCACGUUUUUAUCUAACGAUCUCUUUUGCAGGUGUUGUUAGAUAUUUUCACUCACUUGCAGGUUGGGGUGUGGAGCUUUUGACAAAAGAUCCCCAUGGAGUCCGAUCAGGGACGAGGAAUUGAAGAAUGGUGAAAAGACGGCGAAAAGAUGGCGAAGGUCCUGGAGGGUUAAUCAAGAAGACUCUUCAAAGUCUGAAAUUGGAAAUUUGAUACUUUGGUCAGAUGGUGGAUACCCGUGUUCGACGAGUCGACAGGUGUUCCGUAUCAAUAGCCCGUAUCUCCCCGGCAGGUUCGAGAUCGGUAUUUCGUCGGCAGCCAGUCCUGAAGGUUGUGGUUUCCCCUAGCAGGGUGGAGAUUGUUAUAUCCCCAGCAAGUCGGAAAGUUGUCGUGUCCUCAGCGGAGGUGCGUUGGUAGCUGUUUCCCCAGCGAAGUCCCCAAGCGGAUCAAGUUCAGUGGAGGUCAUCCCUGGUGAGGGUUGUCCUUUCCCCAGCAGCAGUGCUAUUCCCCAACAGGGUGGAGGUUGGAGUGUUGUCGAGUUCCUCAGCAGAGUGUCUCGAGCUCCCCAGUAGAGUCCCCUGAGGGGGAUACUUUUUAUGCAUUCAUCAUUUAGAAAAGCAUGGCAUAUUGCAUAAUUCAUUACGUAGCAUUUCCAUGGUUAUGGAGCAUUACGCUGUAAAAAAGGGAAAAAUCAUGCAUCAACAUUGCAAGCAUAAGCUAGUCUCAAGCCGUGGUUACCGUUUGAGAAUUGGUUUAGCUGGUGAGUGAAGAUGUUACUCAAGCCGUGGUUACCGUUUGAGAUUUGGUUUCGCCAGAUGGUGAAGAUGUUACUCUGAGGAGUUUAGCAUCAUGACGUUACGCGAUCAGCGCGACUCAAGCCGUGGUUACCGUUUCAGAGGUGGUUUCGCUGAUUGUUGGAAGAUGUUACUCUGAGGAGUUUAGCAUCGUGACGUUGGGUCAACGGUAUUCCCCAGUAGUGCGAUACUGGAGGAGAUUUCUGUCGUGCGAGAUGGAAGUUGGAAGAUGUUACUCUGAGGAGCAACUCUGAGGAGUUUAGCAUCGUGACGUUGGGUCAACGGUAUUCCCCAGUAGUGCGAUACUGGAGGAGAUUUCUGUCGUGCGAGAUGGAAGUUGGAAGAUGUUACUCUGAGGAGCUUAGCAUCGUGACAUUGGGUCAACGAUAUUCCCCAGUAGUGCGAUACUGGAGGAGAUUUCUAUCGUGCGAGAUGGAAGUUUGAAGAUGUUACUCUGAGGAGCUUAGCAUCGUGACGUUGGGUCAACGGUAUUCCCCAGUAGUGCGAUACUGGAGGAAAUUUCUGUCGGACGGAGAUGGAAAUGAUAAUCAAAAAGUUUUGGGGGUCCAAGAAAAGGAAAAAUAAUAAUAAUCCCCAGCAGAAGCGGCAUUCAGGCCAGGUUUCCGGUGUUCAGGCCGAAGUGGGUAUUCAGACCAGAUUUUCCGAUGUUCAGAUCGAAGAGCUUCCGAAGUUUAGAUCGACGCAGCUUGCGGCAUUCAGGCCAGGUUUCCGGUGUUCAGGCCGAAGUGGGUAUUCAGACCAGAUUUUCCGAUGUUCAGAUCGAAGAAGCUUCCGAAGUUCGGAUCGACGCAGCUUGCGGCAUUCAGACCAUGGUUAUUGCUUUGUUACCAUUUAUUUUGGUAUCCGGGUUAACAUUUUUCGAUAUUCAGGCCGACUGUCUCCGUACCAGACGGGCUUUUCUUUCAAGACUACUUCUUUGCCGAUUCUGACAGGCAUUGUUAAUUAUUCCCCAGCGGAGCGCAAAUUGUUCGUCUGUUCUUGGUAUUCAAUCACUCUUCACCCUGAUCAUCUGAAAGCCGAGGCUGUUCAUAUCGACAAGUUCACAGUGGAUUGAAUAGGGGCAGCUGUAACACCUCAAAAUUUGCCCUCCUCUUCUUGGGACUAGUUUAGCAUAUUGCAUUUCAUUUUAGGACAUUAGGCAUUUGCAUAUUGCAUAUCAUGUGAAAUAAGAGAUCAUCCUCCAAAGUCUUUUCAGAAGAUGGAGAGGUACAUGGUUCAAGCCUGCGGGUCCAUGAAUUGGUGAUCAACCAUCUGAGGGUAUAUGCUUCAAUUAGGGUUUUCUGAUUCUUCAAUGGUCUUGAUCAUUAUCUUAUUGGCAAGGAUAUAUCACGAUCAUCAUGGUUAUGUCAUCCUCAAGGGCUUCAUGAUUCAUGCUCAGGUUCCUCUAGAUUAGGGUUUUGACCUGUGGUCAACCCUAAUCAGUUGCAUUCUUCCAACCAUGGUUUAUCCAGGAGGUGAGGUAUUCUAUUGAGAUGAGGAUCACAUGAGUAUUAUAUUGGGCUUAUAAGAGCUAGGAGUUCAUUUCUGAGCCAUUUCCUCAAGAGUUGGAGGCUCAAGCUGGUCAGAGCAUGUCAAGGUCAUCUGAGGACCUAUACAGUCCACUGUGCAGUCAACUGAGGGCUAGGAGGUGGAGGAAUGAGUUUCAACACUUCAAUCAUGUUCAAAAGAGGUUCAUUUGUCAUUUCAAACAUCUAUCUUGAAGAUUUUGAAGUUAGGACAAAAGUUUCCAAAAAUGGAAAGUGACCUGUAAUUGAAAGUUUCCAAAAAUGGAAAGAUUUUGGUUCAAAUUCAACCUGAUUUUUCAUCAUCAAGGAAGCUUCAAACGAAUUUUUGAUGAACAUGAAAGUUGAAUAUCUUUCUCUCCCAUUUCCAAAAAGUCAAAGAUCAUGAGCAUCUGAUGAAUGGUUGGGAAGUUAUGGUCCAAUGACUGCAAAGUGUACAUGGAACUUCAAAAUGGCAUAACUUUGGCUACAAAAUUCCAAAUGGAGUCACUCUUUUUGCAAAUUGCUUCUCAUGACCUAUAUUUUCCAAAUCCAUCAUUGCAUUGCAUGAAAUAACAUCACAUGAUCAUUUGUCCAUGCAUGAGUAUUUUGGAGGGAAAAUGCCUAAUUCAAAUUUGGGUGCAUCAUACGAUGAUUAAUUUCCAAUCCAAUUGUGUUCAUAAUUGAUUUUAAGUGAUCUUACACACUCACAUUGGCACUGUUCACGUCCAUUUUGCCAUGCAUAGGUGCACUUACCAAUUUUGCAUCACCUCCAUAUUUCAUUAAUUUUCAUUAGCCAUGCUUAAACUUAAUUACAACAUGAUUAAGGAGAGUAUAUAAGGCUAAUCAUAACAGAAUUGGAUCAGUUUUGAACAUUCUAGAUCUAGAAAUUGGUUUUCCUCCAAAAUUCUCUCAUCCCAAAUUUGAAAAUUCUUCACAUAACACCUCAAUUUAUUGCAUAUUUGUAUUCAUUGAUCAUCAUUUAGUAGGGAUCAAGCUGUGGAUUGAAGAAAUU
rnacentral:lncRNA from 1 species